GAUCCUGGCUCAGGACGAACGCUGGCGGCGUGCCUAAUACAUGCAAGUCGAACGCACUCUCGUUUAGAUUGAAGGAGCUUGCUCCUGACCGGGUAAACAUUUGAGUGAGUGGCGGACGGGUGAGUAACACGUGGGUAACCUGCCCUAAAGUGGGGGAUAACACCUGGAAACAGAUGCUAAUACCGCAUAAAACCUAACACCGCAAAUUCCACGGGUAAUCCGUAAGGUCAAAUUCCAGGUACGUGUGGUAGGUAAAGGCUCACCAAGACCGUGAUGCAUAGCCGACCUGAGAGGGUAAUCGGCCACACUGGGACUGAGACACGGCCCAGACUCCUACGGGAGGCAGCAGUAGGGAAUCUUCCACAAUGGACGAAAGUCUGAUGGAGCAAUUAAAGGUAACCCCUGAAUUCCCAAGCGCCGCGUGAGUGAAGAAGGUUUUCGGAUCGUAAAACUCUGUUGUUGGAGAAGAAUGUAUCUAAUAGUAACUUUUCAGGGGUUUUCAAGGAUUCCCAAGUUGCACCUGGGGCUAACUACGUGCCAGCAGCCGCGGUAAUACGUAGGUGGCCCAAGUGGAAAACCCCGGUUGGGCGUAAAGCGAGCGCAGGCGGUUUCUUAAGUCUGAUGUGAAAGCCUUCGGCUCAACCGAAGAAGUGCAUCGGAAACUGGGAAACUUGAGUGCAGAAGAGGACAGUGGAACUCCAUGUGUAGCGGUGAAAUGCGUAGAUAUAUGGAAGAACACCAGUGGCGAAGGCGGCUGUCUGGUCUGUAACUGACGCUGAGGCUCGAAAGCAUGGGUAGCAAACAGGAUUAGAUACCCUGGUAGUCCAUGCCGUAAACGAUGAGUGCUAGGUGUUGGAGGGUUUCCGCCCUUCAGUGCCGCAGCUAACGCAUUAAGCACUCCGCCUGGGGAGUACGACCGCAAGGUUGAAACUCAAAGGAAUUGACGGGGGCCCGCACAAGCGGUGGAGCAUGUGGUUUAAUUCGAAGCAACGCGAAGAACCUUACCAGGUCUUGACAUCCUUUGACCACUCUAGAGAUAGAGCUUUCCCUUCGGGGACAAAGUGACAGGUGGUGCAUGGUUGUCGUCAGCUCGUGUCGUGAGAUGUUGGGUUAAGUCCCGCAACGAGCGCAACCCUUAUUACUAGUUGCCAGCAUUUAGUUGGGCACGGUCUAGUGAGACUGCCGGUGACAGGAAAUUCCCUAGCUUUCAAAUCAUCAUGGGGCCCUUAUGACCUGGGCUUUACAAACACGUGCUACAAUGGAUGGUACAACGAGUUGCGAGACCGCGAGGUUUAGCUAAUCUCUUAAAACCAUUCUCAGUUCGGAUUGUAGGCUGCAACUCGCCUACAUGAAGCCGGAAUCGCUAGUAAUCGCGGAUCAGCAUGCCGCGGUGAAUACGUUCCCGGGCCUUGUACACACCGCCCGUCAUUUACCGUAAGGUAAGGUUCUUCGGGCCAGUUUCGAAUGCAGUUCCCAG
rnacentral:rRNA from 1 species